rnacentral:rRNA from 1 species
CGGUAAUACGGAGGGUGCAAGCGUUGUCCGGAUUUAUUGGGUUUAAAGGGUGCGUAGGCGGCCCGUUAAGUCAGUGGUGAAUGCCUCCAGCUCAACUGGAGAACUGCCAUUGAUACUGACGGGCUUGAGUACAGACGAGGUUGGCGGAAUUGAUGGUGUAGCGGUGAAAUGCAUAGAUACCAUCAAGAACUCCGAUUGCGUAGGCAGCUAACUAGGCUGUAACUGACGCUGAGGCACGAAAGCGUGGGGAGCGAACAGGAUUAGAUACCCUGGUAGUCCACGCCGUAAACGAUGAUUACUCGAUGUUGGCGAUAAACAGUCAGCGUCUUAGCGAAAGCGUUAAGUAAUCCACCUGGGGAGUACGCCCGCAAGGGUGAA